GACGAACGCUGGCGGCGUGCUUAACACAUGCAAGUCGAACGGAAAGGCCCUGCUUUUGUGGGGUGCUCGAGUGGCGAACGGGUGAGUAACACGUGAGUAACCUGCCCUUGACUUUGGGAUAACUUCAGGAAACUGGGGCUAAUACCGGAUAGGAGCUCCUGCUGCAUGGUGGGGGUUGGAAAGUUUCGGCGGUUGGGGAUGGACUCGCGGCUUAUCAGCUUGUUGGUGGGGUAGUGGCUUACCAAGGCUUUGACGGGUAGCCGGCCUGAGAGGGUGACCGGCACCAUUGGAAUGAGGAAAGGGCCCGGAUGCCAACGGGAGGAAGCGGUGGGGAAUAUUCCACAAUGGGCGGAGGCCUGAUGCAGCAACGCCGGGUGGGGAAUGACGGCCUUCGGGUGGUAACCCACUUCGCCUGUGACGAAGCGUGAGUGACGGUAAUGGGUAAAGAAGCACCGGCUAACUACGUG
rnacentral:rRNA from 1 species